rnacentral:rRNA from 1 species
GAUGAACGCUGGCGGCGUGCCUAAUACAUGCAAGUCGAGCGAACAGACGAGGAGCUUGCUCCUCUGACGUUAGCGGCGGACGGGUGAGUAACACGUGGAUAACCUACCUAUAAGACUGGGAUAACUUCGGGAAACCGGAGCUAAUACCGGAUAAUAUAUUGAACCGCAUGGUUCAAUAGUGAAAGACGGUUUUGCUGUCACUUAUAGCUGGAUCCGCGCCGCAUUAGCUAGUUGGUAAGGUAACGGCUUACCAAGGCGACGAUGCGUAGCCGACCUGAGAGGGUGAUCGGCCAAACUGGAACUGAGACACGGUCCAGACUCCUACGGGAGGCAGAAGUAGGGAAUCUUCCGCAAUGGGCGAAAGCCUGACGGAGCAACGCCGCGUGAGUGAUGAAGGUCUUCGGAUCGUAAAACUCUGUUAUUAGGGAAGAACAAAUGUGUAAGUAACUAUGCACGUCUUGACGGUACCUAAUCAGAAAGCCACGGCUAACUACGUG